CGGCGCCACAAGUGGCAAUCAGUAUUAUUGGGCCUAAAGCGUCCGUAGCCGGACAGGUGCAUCUUCUGUGAAAUCACUGUGCUUAACGCAGCGCAUUGCAGAAGACACGGCCUGUCUUGGGAGUGGGAGAGGCUAGAGGUACUCAGUGGGGACUGGUAAAAUGGUAUAAUCCUCUGAGGACCACCGAUGGCGAAGGCAUCUGGCCAGAACACGUCCGACGGUGAGGGACGAAAGCUAGGGGAGCGAACCGGAUUAGAUACCCGAGUAGUCC
rnacentral:rRNA from 1 species